GGAGACCUUGAGAGAGGCAGCUGCUGAGACCUCACACAGACCCAUGAUCACACAGGACCGAGACACUAAUGAAUAGAAUGUACAUUUGUUCCUGCUGUGUGAUUGUCCAUCUGUCUGUGCCUGGACAACCACUCCAUCCCCACUGGAUGCAGUAACAGCACCACUGCCCACUGGCAUCGUGAACCUGGUGUCCAUCACUGAGCUCUGCUGGGGAUAGUCUACGUGGCAGCUGCUGUAGCUCUUGCUCAGAGUGCUGGUGCAACCGUGCGGCUCCCAUGAUGGGAAUUCAUUGUAUUUUUCUGGCUGAAGAGUAUUCCAGUGUCUACGCAUGGGACAGUUUCCUUAUCCCUUCAUCUGCAGAUGGACAGGUUUCUCCACAUGGCUGCAGAUCAAUGAUUUCCCAAAGUGUUACGGCUGAAAUGCGUUCCAUCGUGUAUAUAUCCAGUUCCUUUAUCUCUUCAUCUGUGGAUGGACAGUUAGGUUGAUUCCAUAUCUUGACUAUUGUGACUAGUGCUUCAGGACACAUGGGAAGGCAGAUACCUCUUCAAUGCAAGGAUUUUGUUUCCUCUAAAUGUGUACCCAGUGGUGGGAUUGUUAACCUGGAGUGGUGGUUGUACUUUGACCUUUUACUUUUUUAAGGAAUCUCCAACAGUUUUGCAUAGUGUGUAUACUAAUUUACCUUCCCACAAAGAGCGUACAAGAGUUUUCCUUCCUGCAAUUCUACACCAGCCAUCGCCUUCAACAAUUUUUAUUUUUAUCUUUUGCAACAUUCAUUUUAACCGGAAUUAUAUGGUACCUGAGUAUGGUUUUGAUUCACUUUUUUGUGAGGAUUAGUGAUAUUGAGAAACUGUUAACCUGUGAGUCAAUUUCCUGUCUUCUUUACACACAUGUCUAUUCAGAUCCUCUUAGCUUGGGUAUUUGUUGUUGUUGUUUUUGUUGUUUUUCACUUAGUAGAGUGAGUUUAUUGUAGGUGUUAGAUAACAACCUCUUUCAGAGGUAGGACUUUCCAUAAUUCUCUCCUAGUCUUUAGGAUGCAUUUUGUUUGUUUGUUUAUUUCAUUGUUUCUUUCCCCCUGUAGAAGUUCUAAAGUGUCACUAGUGUCUUUGUUUAUAUUUGCAUGUUAACUGUAAUUUUUGUAUCCAAACCUCCACCCUACAAAACACACACACAUACACACACACAUAUAUAGCCAAGCCAUUGCAUUGUCUGUGCAUGUAGUUCCCCUAAUUUUCCCUUUAGUGUUAUGAUUAUUUUUCACCUUUUGCAGCCUGUGUGCAUAGAUACAGGUUUCCUAAAAUAUACACCCAACCUAUGUUUUCUUAUAAGACCUUUGCAGUUUCAAGAUUGAGUUUAGGUCUUUAAUUUAUUUUGUGUUGAUUUUGUGUAUCGUGCAAUGCAAAGGUCUUAUUUCAGUGUUUUGCAUGUGCAUAUUCAGUUUUCUCAAAAAUCACUUCUUGAACCAGACUCUCCCUUUCCCAUUGUGUCUUUUUGGUGUUUUGAAAUAUGUGUUCCCUAUGUAUCAUGUUGGGUUGAGUAUUUGGCUGCCUCAUUCUGUCCACUGGGUCCUUGUUCUGUGUUUGUGACAGUCAUGGAUUGUUUGGAUAACUAUAGAUUGUGUUUUUUCAUUUAUUAUUUUCUUCGCUUCUGAUCUUGACUUUUUCUUUCAAUGCUCUUUACUCUUACUAUUCUAGUUUAAAGGGUACACAUGCAGGUUAGUUACAUCUGUUGAUUGCAUGACACGGAGGCUUGGGGUCCCAACAACCUCAUGACCCAGGCAGUGGGCAGAGGAUCCACCCUGUGGAUCCUCUUUUUUCUUUUUUUUUUUUUUUUUUUUGGUCUGGUAGUCAUUCCCAGUGUCUGUUGUUCCUUUCUGUAUGUUCGGGUAUAUUCAUAGUUUAGCUCCCACUUAUAAGUGAGAACAUGCAGCAUUUGGUUUUCUGUUCGGGGCUUAGUUCACUUAUGAUAAUGGCCUCCAGCUCCAUCCACGUUGCUGCCAAGAACAUAACUUUCUUUUAUGGCUGCAUAGUGUUCCGUGGUAUAUAAGUAACACAUUUUCUUUAUCUCGCCCACUGUUUUAUUUUUUAUUUAUUUAUUUUUUAAUUUUUUGAGACAGCCUCCCGCUCUGUCAUCCAGGCUGGAGUACAGUGGCACAAUCACAACUCACUGCAGCCUCGACUUCCCAGGCUCAGGUGAUCCUCCCACCUCAGCCUCCUGAUUAGGUAGGACUACAAGUGCCUGUCACUGCAUCUGGCUAAUUUUUGUAUUUUUUAUAGAAAUGGGGUUUUACCGUGUUGCUCAGGCUGGUCUCGAACUCCUGGACUCAAGGGAUUCCCCUGCCUUGGCCUCCCAAAGUGCUUGGAUUACAGGCAUGAGCCACCGCACCUGGCCUUCUCACAGUUUUUGAGGCUGGGAAGUUCAGGAUCAAGGCACUGUCAUCUGAUAAGUGCCUUUUUUCUGUGUCCUCACAUGGCAAGAAGAGAGACAGAGCACACCGCUACCUCCAGCCUUUAUAUAAGAGACCUGAUCCCAACCGUGAGGUCUCCGUGUUCAAGACUAUAUCACCUUUCGAAGGCCUACCUCUUAGUACUAUCACACUGGCAAUUAAGUAUAAAUCCUUUUGGAAGGGAGACAUUCAAACCAGAGCAUGAUGAAAACAGCAGCACUGGAAGGCAGGGCUCCUCACGUCAGUCAUUUACUCCAGGGGGACGGGAGCCACCCUGCAGAAUGCAGCUCAGUCUUGGGGAGAGAGAUAAGGGGAUAAGAAUGGGACUAGAAAUAGACACGGGAGUGCCCCCUGCUCACAGGACAGAGAGGAGAAGCAUCAAAUCGGGUAAAAAUAAUGAAUGCCUCAUUUAUUUCUUCUAGCACUUAUUCAGUCGUUUCAGUAAUACAUAUUCAUUAGCCAACUACUCCUCAGGUUUGGGCUCCUGGCUUCAGUGGGUGAAUUUGGUUUUUCAGGUUGUUCACAUAUUGUUAUGUGCAAUUUUUUUUCUGCUGAUUCACUCAGUUAAUAGAAGUGUGUGCUAUUAUUUAUAACUAUAAUUGGGAAUUGAUUCUUUUCUCUUCCUUAGUCCUGCUAAUUUAUAUUUUAUAUAGAUUAUAUUAUUAGGGACAUGUUUUUUGGUUUGUUUUUUUGUGUGUGCUUUUUUUGUUUUGUUUUGUUUUGUUUUGUUUGUUGUUGUUUGAGAUGGGAUCUCACUCUGUCACCAUGGCAGGAGUGCAGUGGCGCUAUCUUGGCUCAGUGCAACCUCCACCUCUCAGGCUCAAGGGAUCCUCCUACCUCAGGCUCCCAAGUAUCUGGGACUACAGACACAUAUGCCACCGUGCCUGGCUAAUUUUUUUUUCUGUACUUUUUAGAGAUGAAAUUUUGCCAUGCUGCCCAGGCUGGUCUAGAACUGCUGAGCUCAAGCAAUCCACCCACCUUGGCCUCCCAAAGGGCUGGGAUUACAGGCGUGAGCCACCAUGCAUGGACUGAUGUGUAUUUUAUAAUUGUUAUGUGUUCUUGUCAAAUAUUUCAUUUUAUAUACACAAAAUGUCCCACAUUUCCUGAUGUAAAUAAUUUUCAUUAAAAUUAUUUGGUCUGAUACCAAGAUAACCAC